UGUGUUGUGCUGUGUGGACCAGAAAUAAAAAGUCUCUUUAAUGGCAGCCCUUCAAAAGCAUUACUCAAAAGUCAUGAUCAUGUUCUAAUUAUUAUGGGGUGUGUACUGAAUCUCAAAUAAAGUCAGACUUUUUGAAGGCAAAGAAAGCCUACGUUUCAUGCUCCUAAGUUAAUGAAGAUAAAAAUUCAACGUUUGUACAUGGAUGGCAACCACAAAAGCUUUGUUAAGAUAAUAGCCAUACUCUUCGUCUCACAUAACAGUGAUGCUUCUGUCAAAGAGCUUCACAGAAGUUUGGCAGAUUGAAUAAAAUUGAUGAAUAAUGGCUUUCAAUUAGUGGUGCAAAAGAGCAAUACCAUUCACUUCAUUCUAGUGUAACUUGUUAUAUUUUCCAGAUUCUUUUUAAACCAGAAGACAAGGUCUUUAUGUGUACUGUGUGAUAUAGUAUUAUAUACUCAUGGAGCCUUAUAUAUAAAGGAUGCAGUUCCUAAUAUUUUUAACAAUAAACAGCAGAUUUGCCAUGGCAUCUACUUAUAGGUUGGGGAAGUCAAAAGAGAGAAAUGCAAUGAACUUGAUUGGAUAUUAGUGAAUUAUACAUAUAGUCAUGGGCAUGGGGUUAAUAUAUUUGUACUAACAAAUAGAGGAGAUUCCUUCAUUCAGGAAACUUUUGUACAGCCUGUGCUGUGAAAGAUAACGAGGCACAGCAAUGUUUCCUUUUACCAUAAAACAAAGGAAAUUGCACCAAAAGAGAGUGUUGAGAAGAGGUUAAACAGUGGUCAGCAAGGCAAAAGAAGAUGAAAAUUAUUGGAUUUGGCUUUGAGAAGGAUAUAGUGACUUUUAAAAGAGUGAUUUUCAUGACUUAGAUCGAAAUCUGUUAAAAGGUUAAAAAAAGAGAUCCUUUAAACACAGUUUAUGCUUUCAACGGGUUGGAACAAAGAAGACAGGAAAAGACUGAGUUUCAGUGUGAAGGUUCAAAGGCAUAUUUAGUCAAGGUUUCACUUUGUUUUGGUUGUUGAUUGGGGGGGGUUGUAUUUUGGAUAGGACAAAUAAUAUAAAUCUCACAAAAACUUAAAAUAUUUUAAAAGAGUUGCAGUGACAUCCUUAUUUUGCUUGUCCUAAAUUUCAAAAUAGCACAAAUGUGAUUUUUCUAUGCAGUGCUUAUCAUCUGCAAUCUUCUAUUCAUGCCGUACUCAAGAAUAAAAGCAGUUUACACUGUCAUUUUUAGUAAGUUGCUUAUAAAUAACUGCAUUCUUCAAGUGACUUUGAACUUUAAAAAAAUUUGUCACAUAGUGUGUUAUGGCAAUAGUUUGAUUAUGUGUGAUUGCUUUUUACUUUCUGUGCAUAUUAAAUGUGGGUUCCACAUCACUAGAAAAAAGUCAAAAGAUUCAAACUCGUGUUUCAGAAUCAUCCGAAAAAGGAUGUAAUAUUACUCACAUUUCCCCUCUUGUUAUCCGAAAAUAGAAAUAAAGUGUUGUCUGGCUUAUUAAUUGAUUGAUUUCAGCAGAGACUAACAAACUAUCUCUUGCAGGCCAAAUUGGUUCUGCCAUCUCUUUUUGUAAAUUUUUUUUUUUUUUUUUUUUUGUCUUUUUGCCUUUUCUAGGUUCCCAGGCUAGGGGUCUAAUUGGAGCUGUAGCCACCGGCCUACACCAGAGCCACAGCAAUGCGGGAUCCGAGCCUCGUCUGCAACCUACACCACAGCUCAAGGCAAUGCUGGAUCCUUAACCCACUGAGCAAGGCCAAGGAUCGAACCUGCCACUCUCGUGUUCCUAGUCAGAUUCAUUAACCACUGAGCUAUGACGGGAACUCUUGUAAAUAAAAUUUUGUAAGAACACAGCCACAUGGAUUCAUUUAUGUAUUGUUCGUGGCUGCUUUCACACUGUAAGUGCACACUUGAAUAUUUGUGACAGAGACUGUAUGGCUUGAAAAAACAAAAAUAUUUUCCUUUACAGAAAAAGUUUGCAAACUCCUAUAUUAGGGUUUUAUAUAGGAACUUAAUUUCUAAAACAGGUAUUUAAAAAUUGCUUUAAUUUCUAAAGCAAUUUAAGAUGCCUUAAUUUCUAAGACAGAUUUUAAAAAAUUGCUUUCCCAGAUUAUUUUUAUUUGUAUUAACACUAUUAACUCAACAAAUACUUACGGAGCACCUUCUGUGAGGCACACACUUUACCAGGUGCUGGAAACAUGACAGUCAAAUGGUUAAAAUUCCUCACAGAGCUUACAUUCUAGUUGUAAUCAGUUGACAAUCAACAACCAGCAAGAUAAUCAGAAACAACAAAUUAACCAAAUCAAUAAUAACAUACUAAAAUAGUGUGACAGAUGAUGAGAUUAUUAUAUGCUAUGGAUAAAACAAAGAAGAAAAGGGAAGAAGCUAUAGGAGUUGGAGACAUUAAUAAACAUAUUUCCUGCUAUAUUUCAUUUAUAGUGUCCUAAGAUUGUCCUUGAAUAAAAUGAAGUUAUCUACUAGUACAUCCAAUAAAAUAACAACUCCCUAUCUCAAAUGCCUAUGUCCUAAGUGUAUUAUAUUCAGUUCAGACAACAUUAAAAUAACUUAUCGGCAUUAAAAAAAUGUAAAUGUUUCUGUGCCCACAAUUUACAAAAUGAAGCAAAAUUAAAAAAAAUUAUAUUAUGCAAAACCAAUCCCCAUAGAACAGUCCAUCACAUUAAACUAGUCCCUAUAAUUCUCCAUAAAUUCAGUUCUUGAUAUUGUUUGAGAAAAAUAAAUUCAGUAUAAAAGUGUUCAUGCCAGUUUAGCAAACAAUAAUAGCCCAAUAGUAUCUCAACAUGUUUAGAGAGCAGGAGGGAAAAAAUCUAAUAACAAUGAAAAUAAUUCUCCUGCAAUUCCCACUGUGGCUCAGUGAAUUCAGGACCUGACACAGUCUCUGCAAGGAUGUGAGUUCAACCCUUGCCUUACUUGGUAGGUAAAGGGUCUGGUGUUGCUGCAAGCUGUGGCUAUGAUCUGGUGUUGCUGUGGCUGUAGCGUAGGCCAGCAGCAGCAGCCCUGAUUCAACCCUUGCCUGGGAACUUUCAUAUGCUGCAGAUG
rnacentral:lncRNA from 1 species